CAUGAAGUCGGAAUUGCUAGUAAUCGCAGAUCAGCAUGCUGUGGUGAAUACGUUCCCGGGCCUUGUACACACCGCCCGUCACACCAUGGGAGUCGGUAACACCCAAAGUUGGUAGUCUAACCGCAAGGAGGACGCCGCCUAAGGUGGGAUUGAUGACUGGGGUGAAGUCGUAACAAGGUAGC
rnacentral:rRNA from 1 species